rnacentral:misc_RNA from 1 species
GAUGAAGAACGCAGCGAAAUGCGAUAAGUAGUGUGAAUUGCAGAAUUCAGUGAAUCAUCGAAUCUUUGAACGCACAUUGCGCCCCUUGGUAUUCCAUGGAGCAUGCCUGUUCGAGCGUCAUUUGUACCUUCAAGCUUUGCUUGGUGUUGGGUGUUUGUCUCGCCUUUGCGUGUAGACUCGCCUUAAAAUAAUUGGCAGCCGGCGUAUUGAUUUCGGAGCGCAGUACAUCUCGCGCUUUGCACUCAUAACGACAGCGUCCAAAAGUACAUUUUACACUCUUGACCUCGGAUCAGGUAGGGAUACCCGCUGAACUUAAGCAUAUCAAUAAGCGGAGGA